GUCUGUUACUUGCUGCAAGCAAGCGGGUGUCCUUGCCUUGAUUUGGACCCUCCUGUGCACAGACCCUCCUCUGUCUGAUGUCCACCAUGUGAAGUUCAGUCUAACUGGGAACCACGUCGCCCUGUGGGGGCCUGGUGGGGUCAGCAUCAUGGAGGUACCCAGGAGGUGGGGCAAACAUGCUGAGUUUGAGGGAGGCAAGGCCAAGGUCAACUGCGCAGGUCUUAUCCAGUAGCAGAGAGAUUGUUUGCUACCCAGUGUUCCUUGCAGCUGCUGCAGGUAGACUGGCAUCCAGGCAGCCCAUCAGACACCCACCUGGUCAUCCUCGCAUCUGACAAUGUGCUCAGGUGGGACACAACUGUGCUAUUCUCCAGACUAUGUUCAGUCAAGUUGAAUAACAGUCUACCAAUGAAUGUAGGCAUGCUGAAGAAAGUUUCUUGACUGGAAAUAUGCGGCUCCAGAUGUCUUACUGAGGAAUGACUGCAGUGCGAUAGAUGUCGAUGAGAGGAAUAAGUCUACUCUACUAGUACAGUCUAGCAAUGAAUGUGUCACCCUAACCCUUACCCACUAUCCUCUCAGCCAGACAAAUGCACAGGUUGAUACUGAUUAAAAGUGUCAUUCCCAUGUUCCAAUCUACAUCACCAUCAUGUCUCUGGAGAAAGAUUCGCAGAUAGCACAAUGUAACUAUGCUUCAAUGUAACUAAUUUAUGUCCAUUUUAAAGUUAUAGGUUAAUGACAUAUAAUCACAGUACCUUGUUGACCAUGUUUGUUUUUUUGUUGUAGGUAUGACCUGCACAAGUAAAUACAAUGUUACAAUAGUUGCUCUUUUUCCGACCAAAUUGCACCUGUGAGCAUCGGGUGUCACUGCAGGUGUAGGUAUUGAACUGGAUGGACAGACAUCCUGCGUGCGUGCAUGCAUUCACGCACAUGCAUUCACGUACAUGUAGAUUUCAAUUUUUUGGUGUUUUUGUGUUCCAGUAAUUUGGUAGAAAUUAAACAAAACAAAGUAUGUUUAGACAAUCAUUACACAUAGAUCACACUUUUCUGCAAUGGACACGUACCAUCUUUUUCCUUAUCACCUUUCUUUACUUGUGAUAUAUAUUCUAACAGAAUAUAUGACAUAGAGAAGCCUGACAGCCUGCACCAGUCCUUCCAGCUGGGAGAGUCUGCCGACAGUUUCUCCCUUCACUCUACCAGCAGUGCCACCUUCAAUCAAGCCCUGGGUCAUGAUGUCCCCUCGUGACACGGAUGUCACUGUGGCAAAGUAGUGAGUCAAGAACAAACAGGAGUCCGUAUAACUGUGGAUGAGGUGGACUUUACUCCAGAGCUGCCACUUUAUCUCCGUGACCAGGUAAGUGCUCUCUCCGUGGUCUCCCUGACUGACUCCCACAUCCUGGCUCUCUCGUUAUGUCCUACAUCUGGUGCUUAUCAUCGGUCACGACAUCCCCUCGUGACACCUCAUGACGUGCACUAAACGAUCAGCAAAAAUCAUGCAACAUCUUCUUGGCAAUAUUCAAUUACUACAAGUCCUGAUGUACGGAGAAAGCAGAAAUCUUGAUCCAAUAUACAUUAGGGGUUAGUAUCUAAGGUUAUUACAUCGAUCAUAAAGCAGCAACCGCGAUAAAAAAACAAUCCAUUUAUUAUAUUGCGCAACUGCAUGCAGAGGACAUGUCAAAUUACAUACGAAUGCGGCAAAGGAAACAUAGAGAAACAGAUCAGAACCAGAAACAGAAACACUCAUCACAUCCUACAAAAACAAGACUCUCAUAGGAGAUGAAAACUCCGUCACAUACUAAAAGAAAACAAAUGUUAUAUUUAAUUUAGUUUGAUUAUAUGUAUGAGUCUAUGACAUCAGCGCAAAACUCAGUUUUUGGAGUAUACUUUAAAUUUUACAAGGUAUCUGCAAAAUAAGCAAAUAUACUCGUUAUAUUACGUUAAUUGAACAUAAAUGAAAAACUGAUACUGGUGACAGCAAAG